CCUACGGGUGGCUGCAGUGGGGAAUCUUAGACAAUGGGGGCAACCCUGAUCUAGCCAUGCCGCGUGGAUGACGAAGGCCUUAGGGUCGUAAAGUCCUUUCGCCGGGGAAGAUAAUGACGGUACCCGGAGAAGAAGCCCCGGCUAACUCCGUGCCAGCAGCCGCGGUAAUACGGAGGGGGCUAGCGUUGUUCGGAAUGACUGGGCGUAAAGAGCGCGUAGGCGGGCGAUCAAGUCGGGGGUGAAAUCCCGGGGCUCAACCCCGGAAUGGCCUUCGA
rnacentral:rRNA from 1 species